UCAAGCUACAAAGGGCAUAUGGUGGAUGCCUUGGCGCCAUGAGCCGAAGAAGGACGCGAUAAGCUGCGAUAAGCCGCGGGGAACUGCAAAUAAGUAUAGAUCCGCGGAUUUCCGAAUGGGGAAACCCGGCAGUCGUAAUGGGCUGUCACCCGAGAGGGAGGGAACCCGGUGAACUGAAACAUCUAAGUAACCGGAGGAAGAGAAAUCAAACGAGAUGCCCGUAGUAGCGGCGAGCGAAGGGGGCAUAGCCCAAACCGUGGGCCUUCGGGCCUGCGGGGUUGUGGACCGGCGUAAACGGACGAGUUGCUAGUAGAAUUACCUGGAAAGGUAAGCGAGAGAGGGUAAAAGCCCCGUAUACGAAAGCGACGAGGACGCGGCCGGGAUCCAGAGUACCACGGAGCACGAGGAAUUCUGUGGGAAGCAGGGGGGACCACCCUCCAAGGCUAAACACUCCAUGGCGACCGAUAGCGCAGAGUACCAUGAGGGAAAGGUGAAAAGAACCCCGGGAGGGGAGUGAAAGAGAACCUGAAACCGUAUGUCUACAAGCAGUCGGAGCGAAAGCGACGGCGUGCCUAUUGAAGAAUGAGCCAACGAGUUACGUGCGCCAGCGAGGUUAAGCAGAAGAUGCGGAGCCGCAGGGAAACCGAGUCUGAAGAGGGCGAGGAGUUGGUGUACGUAGACCCGAAACUGCAGUGAUCUACGCAUGGCCAGAUUGAAACGCAGGUAAAAUUGCGCGGAGGAUCGAACCGGGACAUGUUGAAAAAUGUUCGGAUGAGCUGUGCGUAGGGGUGAAAUUCCAAUCGAACGCAGAGAUAGCUGGUUCUCCUCGAAAUAGCUUUAGGGCUAGCCUCAGGCAGUAAGCGCAGGCGGUAGAGCACUGAUCGGGAUAGGGGCCGUAAUGGCUACCGAACCCUGUCAAACUCCGAAUGGCAGCGCUGCAGAGCCUGGGAGUCAGACUACGAGUGAUAAGAUCCGUGGUCAAAAGGGAAACAGCCCAGACCAUCAGCUAAGGUCCCCAAUGCCGUACUAAGUGGAAAAGGAUGUGGGGUUUCAUAAACAACCAGGAUGUUGGCUCAGAAGCAGCCACCAUUUAAAGAGUGCGUAAUAGCUCACUGGUCGAGAGACCCUGCGCCGAAGAUUCCCGGGGCUAAAGUACGGAACCGAAGCUAUGGAUGCAUCCCUCGGGAUGCGUGGUAGAGGAGCGUUCCCAUCGGGCAGAAGUCGUUCUGGAAGGAACGGUGGACUGGUGGGAAGUGAGAAUGUUGGCAUGAGUAGCGAAAAGAAUGGUGAGAAUCCAUUCCACCGAAAACACAAGGAUUCCUGAGCAACGAUCGUCGUCUCAGGGUAAGUCGGGACCUAAUCCGAGGCAUGGAGCGUAGGAGAUGGACAUCCGGUUGAAAUUCCGGAACCGGCAGGAAUCGUCAAGAGCAAGGGAGUGACACAGGAAGGCAGGCGCGCAUGAGAUUGGAAGUUCAUGUGCAAGCGUGCGACGCGCGGGACAGGCAAACCCAUCCCGCACAAGCGCCAGGCGUGACGCGGAGGGAACCGGAAGGGACCCGAAGGCGCUGGGCCUACACUGUCGAGAAAAGCUUCUAGCAAGAGACCUGCCGCCCGUACCGUAAACCGACACAGGUGUGUGGGGAGAGAAUCCUAAGGUGCGCGGGAGAACCCUCGUUAAGGAACUCGGCAAAAUGUACCCGUAACUUCGGGAUAAGGGUAGCCGUCGGGCGUGAAGGGACCAGCUCCUGGAGCGCCGGAUGGCCGCAGAGAAGAGGCCCAAGCGACUGUUUACCAAAAACUUAGGUGCCUGCCAAAGCGAAAGCUGACGUAUAGGUGCUGACACCUGCCCAGUGCCGGAAGGUUAAGGAAGGAGGUCCGGGUUCGACCCAAAGCCUUCGACCGAAGCCCCGGUGAACGGCGGCCGUAACUAUAACGGUCCUAAGGUAGCGAAAUUCCUUGUCGGGUAAG
rnacentral:rRNA from 1 species